GAUGAAGAACGUAGCGAAAUGCGAUAAGUAGUGUGAAUUGCAGAAUUCAGUGAAUCAUCGAAUCUUUGAACGCACAUUGCGCCCGCCGGUAUUCCGGCGGGCAUGCCUGUUCGAGCGUCAUUUCAACCAUCAAGCCCUGGGCUUGUGUUGGGGACCUGCGGCUGCCGCAGGCCCUGAAAUGCAGUGGCGGGCUCGCAAGACACACCGAGCGUAGUAGCUUACAACCUCGCUUUGGGAGUGCUGCGGGUGCUGGCCGUAAAGCGACCUUUGCGUCUUUAGCACUAGGUUGACCUCGGAUCAGGUAGGAGGACCCGCUGAACUUAAGCAUAUCAUAAGCGGAGGA
rnacentral:misc_RNA from 1 species